UUGGUUGUGGUUAAUCUGCACAGACAUGGGAAUGGAAAUGAGUCCCUCGGGGAAGGCUGGCUAGGUUUCUGUUUGGCCAUCUGCAUACUGUUGAGAAAGGUCCAUGUUGUUGUGGCCAGGUCUAGCCAUGUAAUCUCAUGUCACCCAACCUUCCCUUUGACUAUUUCCAUUCCAGUGGCCAAGGAUGAAGCCUGACAUGGUGUCAUCUUUUCUUACAAUCUGCACUGGGAACUUCACCUCUGGAAUCAUUCUUGGGUGUGAAAACUAUGAUAAAGUGAGAACCCGACUGGGAAGCCGCAGACCUCGCUGACCUUGGACUCUAAGGAUACUGGUGAAUAUUAGCAUACUGGGCUCCAAGCUCUUAUUGCUUAUUUUCUGGAAUUGAACAUCAAUUGAUCUUCUGGAAGUGAGCCAUGCACUGGGGUGCAAUCUAGGGCAGUGAAAAACUCACCAAACGGUCUAGAAGGAGCCCCGUCUUGUCCCUGGGAGCCUUUCCUGCAAGGAGUGCUGGCUGAUAGAACUCCGAGAGAACUCCAGGUUGGAUGCAAUUCUCUGCUGUUCAACGUUGGUUCUGUUCCCUCUCCAGCCUUGCAGAGACGAGGUGGAACGCAUUACAAAGGGAGACAUUUCUACUGUUUGUGGCCAAACAGUAUUUAGGAUGUCAUUAUUCCAGUUUCACUUAAGUCUUCUUUCCAGAGUAUUAUUAUGUAAUUUCUCUGCUGAAAUCCCACUUAACACCUGACCUUCCUGACUUUGCUCUUUCACUUUUUUUUUAAAACCUUGUCUUUGUACAAAUUACACAUCAACGGUGAAUUAAUUUUUUUCCCUUAAAAAUAAAACUGCUCCAGAUUUCAGUUGUUAACUUUUCAUUUUAAGGACGUCCUCCCCACUUCAAUUCUCUUCAGCCAGGAAUUCCAAAUGCAUUUCACAUUGUUAUUUUGUUGAUGUUCUCUUACUUAUCAAAGUGAAUCCCGCAGUUAUACUUGCUACUAUCAGGCUUUAGAAAAUGAAGACAUUUUAAAAUAAUGCAAAUAGGGGCGCCUGGGUGGCUCAGUGGGUUGAGUGUCCGACUCUUGAUUUCUGCUCAGGUCAUGAUCUUGCGGUAGUGGGAUCGAGCCCU